rnacentral:rRNA from 1 species
UACGGAGGGUGCAAGCAUUAAUCGGAUUUAUUGGGCGUAAAGGGCGCGUAGGCGGGAAGAUUAGUCAGAUGUGAAAUCCUGGGGCUCAACCUCAGAACUGCAUUUGAAACUGUUUUCCUAGAGGAUAGGAGGAGAAAACGGAAUUCCACAAGUAGCGGUGAAAUGCGUAGAUAUGUGGAAGAACACCGGUGGCGAAGGCGGUUUUCUAUCUUAUUCCUGACGCUAAGGCGCGAAAGCAAGGGGAUCAAACAGG